rnacentral:lncRNA from 1 species
GUGUGUAUUUGGUUGUAUACAUUCUUUUCACUUGUUUGUGUUGUUUCUUCUUUUGUUCUUGUUCAUUGCAUCUUCUACUUCACACUAACCAUUACAAGCAACUUUUAAUUGAGGCCAUCUUGUAAUUUGGGUAGAGGGGUGAAAUUUACACUCACAGUAUUGUAGGGACGUGGAGUUGAUUUGAUAGCGACAAGGACUAGACUUGGGUUAAGAGUUGAUGACUAUGAUACAUCGGUGGUAAUUUAUUAUGUUAUUAUCAGGUAGUAGUUGAUUUCUUAUGAUUAUUAAAAAAAAAGUUUAAGAGAGUUCUUGUGUGUAUUUUUUGGUGUGAUAAUAAGCGAGUGUGGUGUUGUGAUCAAUGUUUUAGUAUAGUCAUUUCUUUGUUGAAGAAUGUGAUGCAUAUAAAAACUUUCAUGAGCUGAUUGUUAGAUAGUUUAAAUAAUUAAUAAAUUAAUU